rnacentral:lncRNA from 1 species
UAUAUAUAUGGAUAUGUGACCUCAUCAAUGUAGAUAUUACCCUCAAAUAUGAUUUCCCUCAAAGAUUUCAACUCUAAAAGUUAAAUCAUCUCAAUAUCCCAUUACCUGGGGCCCCUCCUCCUUCUGGGUGAAGAAGGUAGAGGGUAAACCUCAGAGACCUCCUCCCAGAUCUUCCAUCUGAGGGGAAGGUCCUGGGUUAUAGGUACCAGAGAGCUUCUCUCUCAAACUUGUGCUCUUUUCAUCUUCUUUUUAACAUGCUAUCUUUCCUCAUUAGAUUAUGAGUUCCUUGAGGACAUGGACUAUCUUUUGCCUUUCUUUGUAUUCCUAGAGCUUAGCACAAAGUAAGUAUUUUAUAAAUGUUUAUUGACUGAAAAAUACAACUUAUAGUUGACCCAUGGCUGCCUGUUUGUGAGGCUUCCAUCAUAUGCCUUUCAUAUAUUGACUGCAGGGAGAAUGUCCAAUUUACUGGAAACUUUCCUUCGGGUCUUUUCACAAUGAGAUGGUGCCAAUACAAACCAUCUUCCAUAAGUGAAUAUUUAACAAAUAUUUGUUGAAUAGAAUUGAAUGAGUUACCCUUCAUAGUCUCCAUAAGACUGACUCUUUUACAUAAAAGAAGAUAAAAUCAAUUCUAGAAAUAUUAACUGGUCAAUUUUAAUCUGCUUGACCAGUGAAAGAGUUUACUGCUAUUUACAAUUUUUCUAAUGGUUUUAUUCCUUCUUCCAGUGCUCUACUUUGAUGGAAAUAGUUUACAGCAUCUGGAGGAAGAAGGAACUGGGAAAUCACUCUGUCUAACCCUAUCACUUUCAAGACAAGAAAACAUAGAUCCAGAGAAACUAGUCGAAGUUUGCACAGAAUGGAACCUUUGCCAUCAUGAGGAAGGAGGAGGAAAUGGAGAAAAGAAUGUUGUGACAGACUCUGUAUCAAUUCAUGUUCCAGGACAAGCUUUUCAAUAAAUGAAAAACAAGCAAACCAGAUGAAAGUACAGACAGAAGCAGCUGGCAUUUUUCUAUCUAUUUCUUCUUCAUUCCCUGUUCCUUUAAAAUAGUACAUGAGGAUAGAAUAUUAAAACAUUUUCCAAAAAUAUGUAUUUCAACAAGAUUCCUCUGCCAACUUUAACCUGCAGCUAAACUUUGAGGUGAAGAGGCCCAAAGAUACACAACUAAACCAACAGAAUGCUUAGGUAGACAAUAGUCUUCAUAUAAUCAUGGGCACCAAUUUGAUCUACACAUUCUCCAGCUUGGUAUAGUGUAAAGGUUGUAGUACAGGACCUGGAGUUGGGAGAAUUACUUUUGAACCCUACCUUAGACUCUUCCUAGCAUGAACAAGUGACUGGUCCCAAAGCCUCACUUUCCCCACUUGUAAAAUGAGAGAAAUGAUAAUCACACUGUCUAUCUCAUAG